UACGUAGGGUGCAAGCGUUGUCCGGAAUUAUUGGGCGAAAGAGCUCGUAGGCGGUUUGUUGCGUCGGCUGUGAAAUCCCGAGGCUCAACCUCGGGUCUGCAGUCGAUACGAGCAAACUAGAGUGUUGCAGGGGAGACUGGAAUUCCUGGUGUAGCGGUGAAAUGCGUAGAUAUCAGGAGGAACACCGGUGGUGUAGACGGCUCUCUGGACCGUAACUGACGCUGAGACACGAAAAGCGUGGGUAGCAAACAGG
rnacentral:rRNA from 1 species